rnacentral:lncRNA from 1 species
CCCGAGGGUGGUGGCUCUUCAACCCCCGGAAGGGUCUUUCCUUCAUCACUGGUCUUCCAUCGUCCAUCCACAGGUGGAAGAACCAGUUUUUCUUCAUCUCAUCUCCUUCUCUUUGGGGCUUCCCUUCCCACUGGGGCGCGUCCCGAACCGAAGCAAACGACAACAGCCGGGUGGAGGCGGACGACCGGGAGGACUUCCACCGACUCAAAGACAUGUCGGUUCCGAAGCAGAGGGAGCUUGUUACCGAACAAGCUCUCUAUGACGCCGGCCUGAGCUUGGUCCCCCGACUAGGUAUCGCCCGAUCCCCCGGUCUUCUUCUCAUUCGGCCCUUAGUCCGGUUCUUAGAUUAACAUAUC